rnacentral:rRNA from 1 species
AUGAACGCUGGCGGCGUGGAUAAGGCAUGCAAGUCAAACGGCCCGCAAGGGCAGUGGCGAACGAGGUAGUAAUACGCAGGUACGCACCCCAAAGUCAGGAAUAACUCGGCGAAAGCCGAGCUAAUACUUGAUAGUCUCGAAAGAGUAAAGAUUUAUCGCUUUGGGAGCGGCCUGUGGAGUAUCAGCUAGUUGGUAAGGUAAUGGCUUACCAAGGCUAUGACGCUUAGGGGAGCUGAGAGGCUGACCCCCACCGAUGGUACUGAGACACGGACCAUACACCUACGGGUGGCUGCAGUCGAGAAUCUUCCGCAAUGGGCGAAAGCCUGACGGAGCGACGCCGCGUGGUUGAUGAAGUCCUUAGGGACGUAAAAACCUUUUAUCAGGGAGAAAGUUUAUUGAUAGUACCUGAUGAAUAAGGGGUUGCUAAACUCGU